rnacentral:rRNA from 1 species
UAAGCCUCCGCCAUAGUUUUGAUCCUGGCUCAGGAUGAAUGCUAGCGGCAGGCUUAAUACAUGCUAGUCGAGGGGCAGCAGGGGUAGCAAUACUCGCUGGCGACCGGCAAACGGGUGCGGAACACGUACAGAACCUUCCUUUAAGUGGGGGAUAGCCCGGAGAAAUCCGGAUUAAUACCCCGUAACAUUGUGAUGUGGCAUCAUAUUACAAUUAUAGAUUUAUCGCUUAGAGAUGGCUGUGCGGCUGAUUAGGUAGUUGGUGCAGGUAACGGCUCACCAAGCCAACGAUCAGUAACUGGUGUGAGAGCACGACCAGUCACACGGGCACUGAGACACGGGCCCGACUCCUACGGGAGGCAGCAGUAAGGAAUAUUGGUCAAUGGACGCAAGUCUGAACCAGCCAUGCCGCGUGAAGGAUGAAGGUCCUCUGGAUUGUAAACUUCUUUUAUGUGGGAAGAAAUGCAUUUAUUCUUAAAUGUUUGACGGUACCAUAGGAAUAAGCACCGGCUACUCCGCCGGCGCCCCGG